rnacentral:ncRNA from 1 species
UUAAAUGCUAUGAAAGGAAAUAGUAGAUAUUUAAGGUCUAUAGAGAGGAAACUCCUUGGCUGUAAGGUUUCUGGCCCAAUGAAUAUUGAACCUAUCCACGAGCUUCUAGACGGAAAUGAUAAGAGUAUGUCUAGACGGAUUGUAACCGUUAAGUUGAUGAGAGGACUAUUUAUAUAGUCUAUUAGGGUGGUACCGCGGAUAUUAUAACCUUCGUCCCUUUA